UUUGUUGUUAAAAUCAAAAGCAAAAGCAGUGACUAGUGUGGAGGACCUGACCCCAACGAAGCACCCUUGCAAGCCAGUCAUCCUCGUCGAAAUGCCCUUCAUCUGUCUUGUCUUCACCGAUAACAACUUGAAGCCCCACAGAGUCAUUUUGCACCUGCACCGCAUUUGACGGCGUUGGUGGGGAUGCGAUGAUCUCUUUGUAAAGCUCUUGCAUGAACUUUUCUACCGUUUCUUCUUUGAAACAGAAUUGUCCGGCAUCAUUCUCCGUCUCGGUCAGAAUCUCGUCCAGCUUUCUGGUGAGAGCUUCGGUGGAGGAAGCAUUCUCUUCCAUAUCAAAGCCAUUUUCUCUCUCUAAGUCAGAGGCAACUACAACAACCGUGACUGAACAGUACUCUUGGUACUAAAUGAUAAAGAGCAACUGUGCGAUGCCACGCUGGUAAUGUGGUAGGCGUGGAACCAUGACCAAACCAUCACCCCUUCGCACAUGGAGACAAUGUUUCCCUACCGCGGCUGUCUAUCGCCCCACCUGGCAAUGAUUUGCGAUUCCCAUCUUUUAAUCAUCAGAUGCAAAAUUUGGAGAUGCCAUCAUACCUUUUACAAAUUACUUUAACA
rnacentral:lncRNA from 1 species